UCUAUUAAAAUUCUUAAGUAGUAAUUUUUGAAACUUAAAAAUUUGACGGUAUUUAAUUUUUAAAGGAAUAUGUAAUUUAAUCGAUUUUACACGUUAAAUCUUACUUAUUUUAUUUUUGUAUAUCUCCGUUGUCAGAUUUUAUAUUAAAUAAUUAUAAUAUUCUUAUAAAAUAAUUUUAUUACAUCAGGUCAAGAUCCAAAAUAAAUAAGUUAUUAUGUAUUACAAUCAAAUAUAUUGUAAUAGAUUUAUUUUGGAAAUAAUUUUGAAAUUGAAUUUACAAGUAAGAUGUUUUAGAUUAAAUAUCUGAAAUUAAUUAAAUAUGU
rnacentral:rRNA from 1 species